GGAGUCUUGGCGGAGAAAGCAAUGGCAACCUACUCCAGUACUCUUGCUUGGAAAAUCCCAUGGACGGAGGAGCCUGGUAGGCUGCAGUCCAUGGGGUUGCUAAGAGUCAGGCACGACUGAGCGACUUCACUUUCAUUUUCACUUUUAUGCAUUGGAGAAGGAAAUGGCAACCCACUCCAGUAUUCUUGCCUGGAGAAUCCCAGGGACAGAGGAGCCUAGUGGGCUGCCGUCUAUGGGGUCGCACAGAGUUGGACACGAUUGAACCGACUUAGCAGCAGCAGCAGCAGGAGUCUUGGAGUUUAAAUGGGAUGCUUCUUUAGAGUGUGAGUGUUAUGUGAAGUGUAAACAGGAGAGGAACAAGGGGUCGGCUUCAAGAAACACAGAGUUGAAGAGGGGAGAUUUCUUCUUGCCAAAGGUGGUCCCAGUAACUACAGCACCUUCACUAAAUGGGCCUGAUUGAGGACCUGCCUGCUCAUCCUUGCAGCCAAGAUGCAGGCCUGGCAGAGCCAGUCUCCUGAUGACUCAUCGUCCCUUCAGAGGUUUCCUGGACCCCUACUCAAGAAAACACUGGGCUGUGCCUCUCAAGUACAGCAAUGAACAGGUGUUCUUUGGCAGGUGUUUCCAUGACCUGAGGGUGUUUCUGAGCUGUGGAGGCCACAUCAUUGCAUCCAGUGGGGCUGCAACCUCUACCUAGGCCCUCCAUUAUCGCACCCAGGGUCUUCUCUAGAAGGUCCCAGGUCCUCUGCAGAAGUCUCAGGGAUCCAUCUUCAGCCCAGCUCCCUUUUCCGGGUCCCCAUCACCCCCUUCCAUCAUCGUGUUCUGCAGCCAGCCGCCCGGGAGCUGAAUCAGAGCCAUAGAGCUAACAUUUCGCACACACGUCUCUCCAGAUGACAGGCAAGAUGGGCCUUCUGCCCUCGGCCCACACACACACCCGUGCUCAGGAAGUACAGAAAGUCAGGGCUGCACCCUACAGGGGGUAGGGGAGGAGGGCUGGGGGCCCAUUUCCUUCUGGAUAACCGGCCUGGACCUGGCCCCUCAGGGUUUUGCUUAAGACAGGGACUUACUUCUUAAGGAGCAGAAAAAAUACAAUAUGAGAGAGAAAGAGAGAUUGUAGACAGAGACUGUAAGAGAGUUCAUAUCAGAGAUGGGAUGGGACAGGGAAACAGGGCCGGAGAGGCAGGGUUACACACUGGAUAGACUCUGACAUCAGAGACAGGGACAGGGAAAGACAGAUAUAGGGACAGG
rnacentral:lncRNA from 1 species